ACCAUACUUUCAUUCAAAUAUCUUCAUAUGAAAGUAUGCAAAAUCUUAACUCUGUGAAUUUUUAUUAUUUGAAACAAGAAAAACACUCAGCAACUUCAAGGCAUUAUUCAUUCAUAUAUGUUCCUGAUUCAAUAUAAUUCUUUGUUUUCCCUAAUCCAUAAUGGUAACCCAUUUUCUCGAUAUUCGUGACGCGACUCCAACCCAAAGGAUACAAUUGAAUGAUUAUCUGCACAUUUCAUAAUGCUUUUGUACUUAUUUAAGUGCAACGUAAAUAUAUAUUUUUGAAAAUUAUAUUUAGAUAAAAUUAGAUUCUCUGCUUUCGCCAGUUUUAUGGUAUUUCUUUUUUUAUUUUAUUUGUCAAUAUUUCUUCUUUACAUAAGCUGAUUUUAUUAUAUUUCAGUUUAAUCAUGAAAUCUUUUUGAGAUUGUUUUAAUGACAAUUAUGCAGAUUCUCUUAAAGGUAUUUAUUUAUUGCUCAAAAGAGUUUUUAACGUUAUCCAGAGUUGUUUGUUGCUUGGCCUUUGUUAAAUCACUCAUAUUGAGUUACAACUUUAAGAUUUAGAGUUGACUCGAAAUCGAAAAGAAAGGAAAGACUGUAUUUUUGUGUAUUUGGAUUGGUUUACUUAUAUUUAUAUUUAUUAUUUAACCAAUAUAUAUUACUAAAAGAUUUUUUAAGUAUAUCUAUAUUGUAAAUGUAUAUAGGGAUAUGUAAUAUAAUUAUAUUAUUAUGUGCUUGUAUAUACUUUAUCAAAAUUGUAAAUUUUUUUGAAAGUCUUUAUUACUUUACUAAUUUAUUAUAUAUUCGUGUAUUUGCUGUUGAAGUGAAAUAUAAAUCACGGAAAAGUAUUUUUUAUGUAAAUCAAAGAUUUGUUUUUCAGAAAAUAUUUUCAAAAAGA